rnacentral:sRNA from 1 species
AUAUAAUAAAAUACAGUUAAACCUCUAUAAAUUAAUACUCGAUAAAUUAAUAACCUCUAUAAAUUAAUAAAUUUUUCCGGAGUUAGGACUAGGGUAAAAAGUGACACAAAUCGAUAAAUUAAUAAGAUAAUAACUUUUUCGAAAGUCCUAUGUAAAUAUAUGGUCUCAUCAAUAUCAUAAAUUAAUAAUUGUAUAAAUAUAUCAAUUAUAUAUAUACAUUAUAUGUAAGAUUUUUUUUUGAAAUAUAAUUCUAAUAUUUUUUUGCUUAAAUUUGUAUUUAUU